UCCAAAGGUGACAGAUGGAUUGUGCU
rnacentral:piRNA from 1 species